AUUGAACGCUGGCGGCAGGCCUAACACAUGCAAGUCGAGCGAGCGGCGGACGGGUGAGUAAUGUCUGGGGAUCUGCCUGAUGGCGGGGGAUAACUACUGGAAACGGUAGCUAAUACCGCAUACCAUCAGAUGAACCCAUAUGGGAUUAGCUAGUAGGUAAGGUAACGGCUCACCUAGGCGACGAUCCCUAGCUGGUCUGAGAGGAUGAUCAGCAACCCUGGAACGUAGACACGGCCCAGACUCCUAUGGCAGGCAGCAUUGGGUAAUAUUGAACAAUGGGCGCUAGCCUGAUGCAGCCAUGCCGCGUGUAUGAAGAAGGCCUUCGGGUUGUAAAGUACUUUCAGUCGGGAGGCGUUACCGGCAGAAGAAGCACCGGCUAACUCCGUGCCAGCAGCCGCGGUAAUUC
rnacentral:rRNA from 1 species